GUUCUUUAGUUCUAUAGUUCUAUGCAUUUGACCAUAAGACAAGAUACACCUAAGAUAGAAACGGUCUUGAGCAAUAUCAGAGAGAGAGAGAGAGAUACUGUAUGUGCAGAGGCUGGUAAAAAAAAAUAGUUAAAGAGUAGCAAUUAUCAGCAGAACGCCACAUUUCACCAUCAAAUUUGUGCUCCUCAGCUUCACAGCUUUGGUUACAACAGUUGUGAACUCAGAAAAUUACCCUGACGAAUCCUCUAUGGAUAACAAUACGAUUAUACGAUUUCUACUGAUUCUGUUACUGUGUUUGGGAUUUGUCGCUGUUUGCUUUUUCCUGUUAGUCUUAAUUAUACCUAAAAGAAGAUUCGGGUCAACACUAGAAAUAUACAGAGCCAAGAACUCAUCCUCUUCUGUCAACAACAACAACAACAACAACAACAACAACAACAACAACAACAACUUAAAGAACAACGUGCCCCUCCCGACAUGGGCGUAAAUCCCGGGGGAAACGGAGGGGACAUGCCUGACACCCCACACCCACCCACCCCCACCCCCCCAAAAAAAAAACAUUUUAAAUAUCGCACUCUCAAUUGUGAAAAAUAUAUGUAUACCUAAAUAAUUGUGUAAGUAGAAAAAAACAAACAAAAUGCAUUUAGAAACAAUUGAGUUCCCCCUGCCCUUCCACACAGUGGUUUGACCCACUGCCUGCUUUCCCAGUUCAUCUCACCUACUCUGCACACACGAGUGUGGACCCCAUUAAGUAGACCCCAUUAAGUAGAACAUUAAGAUUAAUUAAAAACAUUAAGUAGACCCCAUUAAGUAGGGGAUUUUAUUCACUUUAAAUAAAGCGAUUCUCUUUAA